AGCUACUUUGAAAGUUUCUCCCUAACUCGUAGUUAUAGCCCUAAGAAUCUUGCUUAAUUACCUCUUUGGAUUUAUCUCUGCAGUUGCAUAAACAGGUUGCCAAAUUCAUGUCUAAUUUGAAUGCUUUGUGAUUCGCAGAUGAGAAAUCUGAGGCAGACGGAACUCUAGUAGCACGUUAAUGGCGGUUUUCACUUUAAUGCGGUUCUUCUGCUAAGGUACACCUCGCUAAUGGCCUCGUUGCUUUUGCAUAACCAUCCAUUAGUUGAUUUGCAUGAGUAUUAAUGGCUACAAAUGAAGCCAUAUUUGGAAUCACAACUCGAUAUCAUUUAUUUGGUUUUAGAGGAUAAAAAGGGGCUAAGAGCACCAUUUCUCCUGCAAAAACAAACAACAGAUACUAUUUGACUUGCGAUUUCCAUUGGAC